rnacentral:rRNA from 1 species
GAUGAACGCUGGCGGCGUGCCUAAUACAUGCAAGUCGAGCGAACAGACGAGGAGCUUGCUCCUCUGACGUUAGCGGCGGACGGGUGAGUAACACGUGGAUAACCUACCUAUAAGACUGGGAUAACUUCGGGAAACCGGAGCCAAUACCGGAUAAUAUAUUGAACCGUAUGGUUCAAUAGUGAAAGACGGUUUUGCUGUCACUUAUAGAUGGAUCGGCGCCGCAUUAGCUAGUUGGUAAGGUAACGGAUGACCAAGGCAACGAUGCGUAGCCGACCUGCGAGGGUGAUCGGCCACACUGGAACUGAGACACGAUCGAGACGCCUACGGGAGGCAGCAGUAGGGAAUCUUCCGCAAUAGGCGAAAGCCUGACGGAGCAACGCCGCGUGAGUGGUGAAGGUCUUCGGAUCGUAAAACUCUGUUAUUAGGGAAGAACAAAUGCGUAGGUAACUAUGCACGUCUUGACGGUACCUAAUCAGAAAGCCACGGCUAACUACGUGCCAGCAGCCGCCGCAG